GGACAAAGACUGACGNUCAGGUGCGAAAGCGUGGGGAGCAAACAGGAUUAGAUACCNNGGUANNNCACGCCGUAAACGAUGUCGACUUGGAGGUUGUUCCCUUGAGGAGUGGCUUCCGGAGCUAACGCGUUAAGUCGACCGCCUGGGGAGUACGGCCGCAAGGUUAAAACUCAAAUGAAUUGACGGGGGCCCGCACAAGCGGUGGAGCAUGUGGUUUAAUUCGAUGCAACGCGAAGAACCUUACCUACUCUUGACAUCCAGAGAACUUAGCAGAGAUGCUUUGGUGCCUUCGGGAACUCUGAGACAGGUGCUGCAUGGCUGUCGUCAGCUCGUGUUGUGAAAUGUUGGGUUAAGUCCCGCAACGAGCGCAACCCUUAUCCUUUGUUGCCAGCGGUUCGGCCGGGAACUCAAAGGAGACUGCCAGUGAUAAACUGGAGGAAGGUGGGGAUGACGUCAAGUCAUCAUGGCCCUUACGAGUAGGGCUACACACGUGCUACAAUGGCAUAUACAAAGAGAAGCGACCUCGCGAGAGCAAGCGGACCUCAUAAAGUAUGUCGUAGUCCGGAUUGGAGUCUGCAACUCGACUCCAUGAAGUCGGAAUCGCUAGUAAUCGUAGAUCAGAAUGCUACGGUGAAUACGUUCCCGGGCCUUGUACACACCGCCCGUCACACCAUGGGAGUGGGUUGCAAAAGAAGUAGGUAGCUUAACCUCGGAGGGC
rnacentral:rRNA from 1 species